rnacentral:rRNA from 1 species
GACAGAGGAGCCAAGCGUUGUCCGGAUUGACUGGGCGUAAAGCGCACGCAGGCGGAGAGGCGCGUGGGGUGUGAAAGCUGGUGGCUUAACUGCCAGUCGCCAUCCCAUACGGCCACUCUGGAGCCUUGCAGAGGCAGUGGAAUUGCCGGUGUAGUGGUGAAAUGCGUAGAGAUCAGGAAGAACAUCGGUGGCGAAGGCGCUCUGCUGGACCUAACUGACACUCAGGGACGGAAAGCUAGGGGAGCGAAUGGG